ensembl:lncRNA
CCGGUGUGUGAGUUAGAGUCUCACUGUAAGUCGGGUUAGAGGCCCGUUACCGGUGUGUGAGUUAGAGUCUCACUGUAAGUCGGGUUAGAGGCCCGUUACCGGUGUGUGAGUUAGAGUCUCACUGUAAGUCGGGUUAGAGGCCCGUUACCGGUGUGUGAGAUAGAGUCUCACUGUAAGUCGGGUUAGAGGCCCGUUACCGGUGUGUGAGUUAGAGUCUCACUGUAAGUCGGGUUAGAGGCCCGUUACCGGUGUGUGAGUUAGAGGCUCACUGUAAGUCGGGUUAGAGGCCUGUUAAUCGUUCUAGGGUUGACUACCCUACGCCACUUCCCGACGGGGACGGUGGAGAGUCUUGGCAACCAGUCGGGUUAGAGGCCCGAGGACUUAGGGGCACCUCGAAAUACUUAUUGUGUGUAAAGGUUCAGCUGGGUUAGAGGCCCAGGGAGUUUGGAACUCCCCGAAUUUUUUAUUAGAGAACUGGGUUUAAGUCCCAAAAAGUGUUGGGUCAGGGACCCGUUCAGCUGGGUUAGAGGCCCAGGGAGUUUGGAACUCCCCAAAUUUUUUAUAAGAAAACUGGGUUUAAGUCCCAAAAAGUGUUGGGUCAGGGACCCGUCAAUCAUUUGUUAAUCAUUCUGAGUCUGGGACUCACAGUAACAUAAGUCAGGUUGAAAUGGACGGGGAGUUUGAGAGAGAACUGUUGAGAGAAGUGUUGAAUUGUUUGUUGUCAAGGAGAAGUGAGGAGUAGAGUAAAUUGUGUUUUAAGAGAAUUCCUGUCUGUUUAUAAGGAAGUGUGUGAAAGGAGACUCCUUGGGAGUGAUGCGCAUAGUGGAUACAUUGACAGUAGAUGAUAGUGAUAUUUGCUCGAGUUCUAGAAAAGGGACGUCUGGAUAGAUUGGAAGAAGGGUUAAUGAAGAAAAUAGCCAGAUAGACAAAGAUUUAGUGGGAGAUGUGCCACGAGAAAGUAUUCAACAGUGGACAAAGGUUUUGGUCAAGUUUUGGGUAAUUAUUUGUGUAAACAUAGUUUUCUUUAAAGUGGUUUCAUUCAAUUGUUUGAAAAUAUUGUAAAG